rnacentral:lncRNA from 1 species
UUUUUUUUUUUUUGUUGUUUUUUUUUGUUUUUUUUUUUUAAGCAUCAGGUUUUGUUGAUUGAAGAGCACAGAUAUGUGCAGCGACAGGUUUGUCUGCUGCAGCGGUUAUUGCUCGUAUUCCCACUUUGCAUUCUAGAAUUAAUAAAUAACAUAAGACAAACAUCAGUAUUAUUAGCAACAUUCUUUACCAAUCGAAGAGUGACCCCCAGGAGUGGGGGUCUGUCCAGGAGAGAUGUUGUCGCAUAUCCUUCCAUAUGGUUUUUUGUUGGGCAUGUAGAUCUAUGGCAUUUAGGGACUCUAGAAUUUUAGUUUUAAGUUGCCUCAUGUCUGCUGUUAAAGUAUCAGGUAAGGUUCCCAGAGGUAUUGUUUCACCUCAUCCCAACUAUGUAUUGAUUGAUCCAAGGUAGAGAGAUGACAUAAUGUGCUUAUGCUAUCAGUCAUGGUUUAACUGCUGUCAGAAUGCCAGUGUGUCUUGCCACUCCCCUACAUAUUCUAAGGCAGCACUGAGGGCUCCCAGGAAUGCAAGAAUCUUUUAAUCUAUACCCUGCUGUAAGAGAAGUUCAUUAGACACAUUUUUGGCCAAGUUAUCUACAAAGGUGUUGUUUGUACUGAUUCAGUAAUAGAGGCCACAACAACACUAGCAGUUGCCAAGAUGACUAUGGCUGAGACUAUUAAGGCUAUAAGUGUGCCUAUGAAUCUUUUGGGUCUGACCUGGGAUAGGGCAUGUUCUAAGGUGGCAAGGGCAGAGGAACCUUGCCAAUUGCAUGUCAAAUUGACUGGUAGAAAUAUCUCAGAUUGUCUCCUUAAUACCAUGACACUAGUAAUAUUUAUAUUCAAUAUAUUGUAAUUAGUGAUACAUGAGGCGAACCAAGCCUGUCCCUGCACUUGGGUCACAAACGUGGAGUUUUGGCAUAUAGUGGAAAUAUUGGUUCCCAUUAAAAAAACAUAUGGAUGAGUAGUGCAAAUCAGGCACUGAUCUGUGUGAUUAUGAAUAGUGGUCAUAGUAUAAUUGUUACUGGAAUUAUAUGUCCCAUGCCAGGUGUUAAGGGAGGUGAUAAGAUGUCCCAGGCACCAUAAAAAGUCUUGGGGUGGCAUGGACUUUACUUGGGGUCUCAGAUAUCUCAUCCCCCCAUCAGCCCAAAUCAUAGGGGAACAGGACACGGCUGUGAAACUGUGAUUGAUGCCAUGAUAGAUGUGGCCAUCAGUAUGGUCGCCCUGCAAAUGACAAUGGGGGCAGUCUAAGAUGUUAUGGUUGCCUAAUUGGAGGCUAC